rnacentral:tRNA from 1 species
AGUGGUUAAGCAGUGCUUGGCUGCUAACCAAAAGGUCAGUGGUUCAAAUCCACCAGUCACUC